rnacentral:rRNA from 1 species
UGGGGAAUUUUGGACAAUGGGCGAAAGCCUGAUCCAGCAAUGCCGCGUGUGUGAAGAAGGCCUUCGGGUUGUAAAGCACUUUUGUCCGGAAAGAAAUCCUUGGCUCUAAUACAGUCGGGGGAUGACGGUACCGGAAGAAUAAGCACCGGCUAACUACGUGCCAGCAGCCGCGGUAAUACGUAGGGUGCAAGCGUUAAUCGGAAUUACUGGGCGUAAAGCGUGCGCAGGCGGUUUGCUAAGACCGAUGUGAAAUCCCCGGGCUCAACCUGGGAACUGCAUUGGUGACUGGCAGGCUAGAGUAUGGCAGAGGGGGGUAGAAUUCCACGUGUAGCAGUGAAAUGCGUAGAGAUGUGGAGGAAUACCGAUGGCGAAGGCAGCCCCCUGGGCCAAUACUGACGCUCAUGCACGAAAGCGUGGGGAGCAAACAGGAUUAGAUACCCUGGUAGUCCACGCCCUAAACGAUGUCAACUAGUUGUUGGGGAUUCAUUUCUUUAGUAACGUAGCUAACGCGUGAAGUUGACCGCCUGGGGAGUACGGUCG